GGUUAAAUUUGAUAACAAAGACCAGUUACCAUUUAUAAAACAGAAGUCCCACCCACUAACUCGCAGGUAUUGCAGCUGCUUGUUUACCCACCUUUUUCAUUUCAGACAUCGGAAAUACUGGUCGACUCGGGAUACAAUCUGAAGAGGCAGUCAUAUGUCUGGCGGUGGUAUUCCAGAUCACAAAUGCAUAUGCCAGUGACCUUCCAGAUGAAUCAAAGAAGCCUUUAAAUGACAAGUCACAUUGUGAAGUACACCACUUCCUGUAACAAGCCUGUAGCAGGGUGGUGGAAAGCCCUGCACAUGAAAGGUGGGACUGAUGCGGCUCUCCCUCAC